CCAGACUCCUACGGGAGGCAGCAGUGGGGGAUAUUGCACAAUGGGGGAAACCCUGAUGCAGCGACGCCGCGUGGGUGAAGAAGCGCCUCGGCGCGUAAAGCCCUGUCAGCAGGGAAGAAAAUGACGGUACCUGAAGAAGAAGCCCCGGCUAACUACGUGCCAGCAGCCGCGGUAAUACGUAGGGGGCAAGCGUUAUCCGGAUUUACUGGGUGUAAAGGGGGCGCAGACGGCGAUGCAAGCCAGGAGUGAAAGCCCGCGGCUUAACCGCGGAACUGCUUUGGAAACUUUUUUGCUGGAGUACCGGAGAGGUAAGCGGAAUUCCUAGUGUAGCGGUGAAAUGCGUAGAUAUUAGGAGGAACACCAGUGGCGAAGGCGGCUUACUGGACGGUAACUGACGUUGAGGCUCGAAAGCGUGGGGAGCAAACAGGAUUAGAUACCCUAGUAAG
rnacentral:rRNA from 1 species